rnacentral:rRNA from 1 species
UUAAGCGACUAAGCGUACACGGUGGAUGCCCUGGCAGUCAGAGGCGAUGAAGGACGUGCUAAUCUGCGAUAAGCGUCGGUAAGGUGAUAUGAACCGUUAUAACCGGCGAUUUCCGAAUGGGGAAACCCAGUGUGUUUCGACACACUAUCAUUAACUGAAUCCAUAGGUUAAUGAGGCGAACCGGGGGAACUGAAACAUCUAAGUACCCCGAGGAAAAGAAAUCAACCGAGAUUCCCCCAGUAGCGGCGAGCGAACGGGGAGCAGCCCAGAGCCUGAAUCAGUGUGUGUGUUAGUGGAAGCGUCUGGAAAGGCGCGCGAUACAGGGUGACAGCCCCGUACACAAAAAUGCACAUGCUGUGAGCUCGAUGAGUAGGGCGGGACACGUGGUAUCCUGUCUGAAUAUGGGGGGACCAUCCUCCAAGGCUAAAUACUCCUGACUGACCGAUAGUGAACCAGUACCGUGAGGGAAAGGCGAAAAGAACCCCGGCGAGGGGAGUGAAAAAGAACCUGAAACCGUGUACGUACAAGCAGUGGGAGCACGCUUAGGCGUGUGACUGCGUACCUUUUGUAUAAUGGGUCAGCGACUUAUAUUCUGUAGCAAGGUUAACCGAAUAGGGGAGCCGAAGGGAAACCGAGUCUUAACUGGGCGUUAAGUUGCAGGGUAUAGACCCGAAACCCGGUGAUCUAGCCAUGGGCAGGUUGAAGGUUGGGUAACACUAACUGGAGGACCGAACCGACUAAUGUUGAAAAAUUAGCGGAUGACUUGUGGCUGGGGGUGAAAGGCCAAUCAAACCGGGAGAUAGCUGGUUCUCCCCGAAAGCUAUUUAGGUAGCGCCUCGUGAAUUCAUCUCCGGGGGUAGAGCACUGUUUCGGCAAGGGGGUCAUCCCGACUUACCAACCCGAUGCAAACUGCGAAUACCGGAGAAUGUUAUCACGGGAGACACACGGCGGGUGCUAACGUCCGUCGUGAAGAGGGAAACAACCCAGACCGCCAGCUAAGGUCCCAAAGUCAUGGUUAAGUGGGAAACGAUGUGGGAAGGCCCAGACAGCCAGGAUGUUGGCUUAGAAGCAGCCAUCAUUUAAAGAAAGCGUAAUAGCUCACUGGUCGAGUCGGCCUGCGCGGAAGAUGUAACGGGGCUAAACCAUGCACCGAAGCUGCGGCAGCGACGCUGAUGCGUUGUUGGGUAGGGGAGCGUUCUGUAAGCCUGCGAAGGUGUGCUGUGAGGCAUGCUGGAGGUAUCAGAAGUGCGAAUGCUGACAUAAGUAACGAUAAAGCGGGUGAAAAGCCCGCUCGCCGGAAGACCAAGGGUUCCUGUCCAACGUUAAUCGGGGCAGGGUGAGUCGACCCCUAAGGCGAGGCCGAAAGGCGUAGUCGAUGGGAAACAGGUUAAUAUUCCUGUACUUGGUGUUACUGCGAAGGGGGGACGGAGAAGGCUAUGUUGGCCGGGCGACGGUUGUCCCGGUUUAAGCGUGUAGGCUGGUUUUCCAGGCAAAUCCGGAAAAUCAAGGCUGAGGCGUGAUGACGAGGCACUACGGUGCUGAAGCAACAAAUGCCCUGCUUCCAGGAAAAGCCUCUAAGCAUCAGGUAACAUCAAAUCGUACCCCAAACCGACACAGGUGGUCAGGUAGAGAAUACCAAGGCGCUUGAGAGAACUCGGGUGAAGGAACUAGGCAAAAUGGUGCCGUAACUUCGGGAGAAGGCACGCUGAUAUGUAGGUGAAGUCCCUCGCGGAUGGAGCUGAAAUCAGUCGAAGAUACCAGCUGGCUGCAACUGUUUAUUAAAAACACAGCACUGUGCAAACACGAAAGUGGACGUAUACGGUGUGACGCCUGCCCGGUGCCGGAAGGUUAAUUGAUGGGGUUAGCGCAAGCGAAGCUCUUGAUCGAAGCCCCGGUAAACGGCGGCCGUAACUAUAACGGUCCUAAGGUAGCGAAAUUCCUUGUCGGGUAAGUUCCGACCUGCACGAAUGGCGUAAUGAUGGCCAGGCUGUCUCCACCCGAGACUCAGUGAAAUUGAACUCGCUGUGAAGAUGCAGUGUACCCGCGGCAAGACGGAAAGACCCCGUGAACCUUUACUAUAGCUUGACACUGAACAUUGAGCCUUGAUGUGUAGGAUAGGUGGGAGGCUUUGAAGUGUGGACGCCAGUCUGCAUGGAGCCGACCUUGAAAUACCACCCUUUAAUGUUUGAUGUUCUAACGUUGACCCGUAAUCCGGGUUGCGGACAGUGUCUGGUGGGUAGUUUGACUGGGGCGGUCUCCUCCUAAAGAGUAACGGAGGAGCACGAAGGUUGGCUAAUCCUGGUCGGACAUCAGGAGGUUAGUGCAAUGGCAUAAGCCAGCUUGACUGCGAGCGUGACGGCGCGAGCAGGUGCGAAAGCAGGUCAUAGUGAUCCGGUGGUUCUGAAUGGAAGGGCCAUCGCUCAACGGAUAAAAGGUACUCCGGGGAUAACAGGCUGAUACCGCCCAAGAGUUCAUAUCGACGGCGGUGUUUGGCACCUCGAUGUCGGCUCAUCACAUCCUGGGGCUGAAGUAGGUCCCAAGGGUAUGGCUGUUCGCCAUUUAAAGUGGUACGCGAGCUGGGUUUAGAACGUCGUGAGACAGUUCGGUCCCUAUCUGCCGUGGGCGCUGGAGAACUGAGGGGGGCUGCUCCUAGUACGAGAGGACCGGAGUGGACGCAUCACUGGUGUUCGGGUUGUCAUGCCAAUGGCACUGCCCGGUAGCUAAAUGCGGAAGAGAUAAGUGCUGAAAGCAUCUAAGCACGAAACUUGCCCCGAGAUGAGUUCUCCCUGACUCCUUGAGAGUCCUGAAGGAACGUUGAAGACGACGACGUUGAUAGGCCGGGUGUGUAAGCGCAGCGAUGCGUUGAGCUAACCGGUACUAAUGAACCGUGAGGCUUAACCU